GCUGGGAGCCCGGGGCCACGUCCUUGAGAACCUCAGGGGCCCUGUGAGGAAGACGUCGGAAACAGAGAAGGAUUGUGAGACACCAGCAAACAGAUCUCCCUAACCACCAGACAUAAAUUAUGAUGGAGAAAGAAGGAGUGGUGAAGAGGAGCCUUUGGAGAAUGUGUGGAAGUGGCACUUGACUCACUUCAUGUCCACGGUGGUAAGUCUGAAGGUCGCACCCUUCAACCAGAGAAUCAUGAAGAUCCUCUGACUGAACGGACAGUUUCCCACACCUGCACAAUCAUCACUCGCCUGAUGCACACAUACGCACACACAUACCCAAACACACACACUCACACACACAGACACACUCACACAGACAGACAGACAGACAGACAGACAGACAGACAGACAGACAGACAGACAGACAGACAGACAGACAGACAGACAGAGGUGUAAAAAUGUGUAAGAAUGAUUAGCAGUGGGGGCUACAACCUAAGAUCUAUGUCUGUGUGUGCUCCUUGGUUUUGUUUCCCAAGUUCAGUGAAUCCAACUUUCCGGUCUAAUUUGGUUUCCCUUCUCGUUUAUUCCGAGUUAAUUCAUUAAUCGGUGGCUGUUUGUGUCUUUAAGCUAAUUGCUCAUGCAGGUGGGUACAUAAAGCCCAGGAAAAGGAGGCCUGAUUGCCAGCAAUGUCCUGUGUGUAUCAGUUUAGUCUCUGUUCUUUCUGGAGUUAGCUCAAUGUAUUUUGCAUUAAGUGUACUUGAGUACUGUGCAUUUCAGUUCUCGGAAGUUGAAGGGGAAGUAAACAUCGACCCUUCAGAUGAUCUGCAUAUGGGUGUUGUUUUCCCUCCACAACUUCCUUGUAACUAGUCACUAGGUAGCACACUCCUAUGCAUGGCUGAUGUUUGACCAUGCGCUGCACUCUGUUUUGCGUAAAAUAAAACUCGGACAAAUAUAAACUCGGACAAAGCCAUUAUUCCUGGUCUAAACAAACCGACCGGCCGAAAGAUAGACUAAUAGACAGAUGAAUAUUUAUCUUAAUACAUAGCAUUUCACCCAAUGUAUUAACAAGACCUAUUUACAUAAUCUGUCAUCUUUGAAUCUCCUGAAAGGUUUUUGAGACAUUGGCAUGUAAGGUAUUUUGUAGAAGGAAACGCAGGUAAAACUGCCCAGUCGUCUUGUUCCACCCUGGUUACGGCUGUGUUUCUGCCGUUUAAAACAUACACGAGUGGUUGAUUAUCCCUCUUCCUCUCAAUUAAAAUACAUGUGUUUUAUAAUGAUGCUAUUGAACUGCCACUGAAUACAUCUAAAGAAAAGUCGACCAAAUAAUAAUGCAACAAAUAUUCUGCUACCAUCAAUACUGCUAGAGAUACAACUGACAUUGACAUUUCAAUGACAUUUUUUAGCUAUAUCAUGCUGCCAAAGAACAAGCACAAAAUAAAACCAUAGAAACUU